UGGGGAAUUUUGGACAAUGGGGGCAACCCUGAUCCAGCCGUCCCGCGUGUGCGAUGAAGGCCUUCGGGUUGUAAAGCACUUUUGGCAGGGAAGAAACAGCCUGGGCUAAUAUCCCGGGCGACUGACGGUACCUGCAGAAUAAGCACCGGCUAACUACGUGCCAGCAGCCGCGGUAAUACGUAGGGUGCAAGCGUUAAUCGGAAUUACUGGGUGUAAAGGGUAUGUAGGCGGCCCUUCAAGUCGCGUGUCAAAGUCCAGUGCUCAACGCUGGGUGUGCGCGCGAUACUGACGAGCUUGAGGGCUGGAGAGGUGAGCGGAAUUCCCGGUGUAGUGGUAAAAUACGUAGAGAUCGGGAGGAACACCAGCGGCGCAGGCGGCUCACUAGACAGUUUCUGACGCUAAGAUACGAAAGCGUGGGGAGCAAACA
rnacentral:rRNA from 1 species